rnacentral:rRNA from 1 species
GUGGGGAAUAUUGGACAAUGGGCGCAAGCCUGAUCCAGCCAUGCCGCGUGAGUGAUGAAGGCCUUAGGGUUGUAAAGCUCUUUCAGUGGGGACGAUAAUGACGGUACCCACAGAAGAAGCCCCGGCUAACUUCGUGCCAGCAGCCGCGGUAAUACGAAGGGGGCUAGCGUUGUUCGGAUUUACUGGGCGUAAAGCGCACGUAGGCGGAUCGUUAAGUCGGGGGUGAAAUCCUGGAGCUCAACUCCAGAACUGCCUUCGAUACUGGCGAUCUUGAGUCCGGAAGAGGUGAGUGGAACUCCUAGUGUAGAGGUGGAAUUCGUAGAUAUUCGGAGGAACACCAGUGGCGAAGGCGGCUCACUGGCUCGAUACUGACGCUGAGGUGCGAAAGCGUGGGGAGCAAACAGGAUUAGAAACCCCUGUAGUCC